GCCCGUUCUCCUUCUAUAGAUGCCGACACUUGACAUCUUAUUUGUGUAGAUUUUAAUUUUUAUUUUAGACCAUUUAUAAUUUUAAUUUAAUAUAAUAAAAUGAUAAAAUUUAUUUAUGAGUUUAUUGUGUGAAUUUCUUAUUUUAAUUUUAUAUUUUUAAUUUAUAAAAAAUAUUAUAAAUAUAAAUUAAAUAUAUAUAUUCAUAAAUUAUUUUAAAAAAA
rnacentral:lncRNA from 1 species